rnacentral:rRNA from 1 species
UACAGAGGGGGCAAGCGUUGUUCGGAAUUACUGGGCGUAAAGGGCGCGUAGGCGGCCUUCUAAGUCGAACGUGAAAUCCCCGAGCUCAACCCGGGAACUGCGUCCGAGACUGGAAGGCUCGAAUCCGGGAGAGGGAUGUGGAAUUCCAGGUGUAGCGGUGAAAUGCGUAGAUAUCUGGAGGAACAUCGGUGGCGAAGGCGGCAUCCUGGACCGGUAUUGACGCUGAGGCGCGAAAGCCAGGGGAGCAAACGGG